CGCUCGCGCAGCUAGUGCGUGCCCGCGGCGUUCAAGGGAAAAGGCGCCAAGGCGGCAGGUGUCGGGAGGGCGCCCGCGAUUGGCUAGGCCUUUCUCCACCGCGCCCCUCCCCCGCGGUGUCGCCGCAGCUGGCGGGUCGCCCUCCCCCCCAACUGUGACCGACCGUCGGCCACGCCAUUCAAGGUCAGAAGUGUUAGCCUUUACUCUAAAACGUUCCUGCAGGCGGUGAAAUGCAGGUUUUGGUCUCCGCUGAAACCAUAUCGUGUUUUGCAGCCUCGAAAUGCUUUACAAAGGAAGUACUUUUAUGUAAAAUGCAGGUUUUUUUAAAAAGAAGAUCUUCACAGGCAGCACUUGAGCCCAGCAAAGAGCUUCCCACGCUUAAUAAAAUGAGCCGAUUAUAAAAUGCUGCUUUGAAUCCAUUCGAUUGACUUCCUGGUGGGCUGUGUGACCUGGGUAUGAAAGCAUAAGGAAGAGCUUCAAGGCCCUCUUUCUCGGGAACAAACCUUCCCAGUGAGCAGAAUAAAGGACUUACUUAAAGUGAA